GUGGGGAAUCUUGCGCAAUGGGCGAAAGCCUGACGCAGCCAUGCCGCGUGGAUGAUGAAGGUCUUAGGAUUGUAAAAUCCUUUCACCGGUGAAGAUAAUGACUGUAGCCGGAGAAGAAGCCCCGGCUAACUUCGUGCCAGCAGCCACGGUAAUACGAAGGGGGCUAGCGUUGCUCGGAUUUACUGGGCGUAAAGGGCGCGUAGGCGGACAUUUAAGUCAGGGGUGAAAUCCCGGGGCUCAACCUCGGAACUGCCUUUGAUACUGGGUGUCUUGAAUAUGAGAGAGGUGUGUGGAACUCCGAGUGUAGAGGGGAAAUUCGUAGAUAUUCGGAAGAACACCAGUGGCGAAGGCGACACACUGGCUCAUUACUGACGCUGAGGCGCGAAAGCGUGGGGAGCAAACAGGAUUAGAAACCCGAGUAGUCC
rnacentral:rRNA from 1 species